AAUAGAUACCCGGGUAGUCCACGCCGUAAACGAUGAGUGCUAAGUGUUAGGGGGUUUCCGCCCCUUAGUGCUGCAGCUAACGCAUUAAGCACUCCGCCUGGGGAGUACGGUCGCAAGACUGAAACUCAAAGGAAUUGACGGGGGCCCGCACAAGCGGUGGAGCAUGUGGUUUAAUUCGAAGCAACGCGAAGAACCUUACCAGGUCUUGACAUCCCGCUGACCGCUAUGGAGACAUAGCUUUCCCUUCGGGGACAGCGGUGACAGGUGGUGCAUGGUUGUCGUCAGCUCGUGUCGUGAGAUGUUGGGUUAAGUCCCGUAACGAGCGCAACCCUUGUCCUUAGUUGCCAUCAUUCAGUUGGGCACUCUAAGGAGACUGCCGUGCAAAUACGGAGGAAGGUGGGGAUGACGUCAAAUCAUCAUGCCCCUUAUGACCUGGGCUACACACGUGCUACAAUGGACGGUACAAACGGUUGCGAAGUCGCGAGACGGAGCCAAUCCGAGAAAGCCGUUCUCAGUUCGGAUUGCAGGCUGACC
rnacentral:rRNA from 1 species